ensembl:lncRNA
AGACACAAAGCUUUAUAUAACUUGGAAAACAUGGCCGUCAAUCAUGGCAAGUUUCUUGAGCUUAUAUUGUUGCUAAGCAAAUAUGAUGUCUGCCUACAAGAGCAUGUUGGUGGAGCAUUGAGAAGAGCAAGAAGCAGAUGGGAAGUAAAGGACGAGUGUCCUUGGUAACUAUGACGUCCAAAACAACAGCAUAUAAAGUCAUUGAAGUCAUCAGAAUGUUGAUUCAGCAGACAAUUGCUGUUGAAGCGAGAAAGGCAGGGAUGUUCUCAAUACAAAUGGACACAACUCAGGCUUUAACAUCCAAAGACCAGUGUGCAAUAGUUCUGCGAUUAUGUCACUGAUGUUGUCCACGAGAGACUCAUUGCGGUCAUUGACUGUGAGUCAUCGACUGGACAGUACUUUGUGGACCUUGUCUGCAUCGCUCACAGGAGAGUCUCCUAACCAAGUACCCAUAUAGUGUUACUAUGUGUCCUCAACCUUGUACUAACUGACACCACUGGGGUUGUACUGAAUGACAUUGCAGUGUCGUUCGAGAUUCCUACAAGAGCAUGAAGCUAUGGGAGGAAACCAGUGAGGAAAGGAGACACAGGCGGCUUGAUGUAACUGGUGAAACACGCUGGUGGGCCAAAGAAGAGGCCUCGAGGAAAGGAGACACAGACGGCUUGAUGUAACUGGUGAAACACGCUGGUGGGCAAAGACGAGGCCUCGAGGAAAGGAGACACAGACGGCUUGAUGUAACUGGUGAAACACGCUGGUGGGCCAAAGACGAGGCCUUGAGGAAAGGAGACACAGAAGGCUUGAUGUAACUGGUGAAACACGCUGGUGGGCCAAAGACGAGGCCUUGAGGAAAGGAGACACAGAAGGCUUGAUGUAACUGGUGAAACACGCUGGUGGGCCAAAGAAGAGGCCUUGUUGAAAGUAUUUGGAAGCUUUGCAAAGCCUGACUGUGCACUUUACACUAAUUGGUGACGGAGGAUAACCUGAGAAAGUGCGCCCGAGACUUUGAGGGAGUGAAGAGGGCUGCAGACGACUUUGUUGAGUGGGCCAAUGGCAUUCUGGAGGAGCAGCAGAACUGAUACCGAAGCUCAGACUGCUCUCCCAGAGAAGAGAACAACAGAAAAAAAGAAGAGAAAACCAGGUGAGUUGGCAGAAGAUGAGCCCAUUGCUAAUGCAGAAAUGGAUUACAAAAUCAAGAUCCACAAUGUGGUACUGGACACUGUUGUUGAAAGUAUUCACUGACGUUAUGCAGCAAAUGCAGCGCUGUGUACAGAUGUCUCCUGCAUGAAUCCAAAGCAUUUUCCUGAGAUCAGAGAAAAGGGCCUUCCAAAGACAGCCAUGAAGGAGCUCAGCCAAUGUUUACUGGAAUUUUAU